rnacentral:rRNA from 1 species
AGUGAACGCUGGCGGCAGGCCUAACACAUGCAAGUCGAACGGCAGCACAAGAGAGCUUGCUCUCUGGGUGGCGAGUGGCGGACGGGUGAGGAAUGCAUCGGAAUCUGCCCAUUUGUGGGGGAUAACCUCGGGAAACCGGGACUAAUACCGCAUACGACCUACGGGUGAAAGCAGGGGAUCUUCGGACCUUGCGCAGAUGGAUGAGCCGAUGCCGGAUUAGCUAGUUGGAGGGGUAAAGGCCCACCAAGGCGACGAUCCGUAGCUGGUCUGAGAGGAUGAUCAGCCACACUGGGACUGAGACACGGCCCUGACUCCUACGGGAGGCAGCAGUGGGGAAUAUUGGACAAUGGGCGCAAGCCUGAUCCAGCCAUGCCGCGUGUGUGAAGAAGGCCUUCGGGUUGUAAAGCACUUUUGUUGGGAAAGAAAAGCAGCCGGUUAAUACCCGGUUGUCAUGACGGUACCCAAAGAAUAAGCACCGGCUAACUUCGUG